CACUCCUGCGGGAGGCAGCAGUGGGGAAUUUUGGACAAUGGGCGAAAGCCUGAUCCAGCAAUGCCGCGUGAGUGAAGAAGGCCUUCGGGUUGUAAAGCUCUUUUGUCAGGGAAGAAACGGUGAAAGCUAAUAUCUUUUGCUAAUGACGGUACCUGAAGAAUAAGCACCGGCUAACUACGUGCCAGCAGCCGCGGUAAUACGUAGGGUGCAAGCGUUAAUCGGAAUUACUGGGCGUAAAGCGUGCGCAGGCGGUUUUGUAAGUCUGAUGUGAAAUCCCCGGGCUCAACCUGGGAAUUGCAUUGGAGACUGCAAGGCUAGAAUCUGGCAGAGGGGGGUAGAAUUCCACGUGGAGCAGUGAAAUGCGUAGAUAUGUGGAGGAACACCGAUGGCGAAGGCAGCCCCCUGGGUCAAGAUUGACGCUCAUGCACGAAAGCGUGGGGAGCAAACAGGAUUAGAUACCCUAGUAGUCCC
rnacentral:rRNA from 1 species